AGCCGCCAAUGUGAUAUGGCCUUGAAAAAAGCGAAUGUGGUCUUGGGAUGCAUCAGGCGAGAUAUGCUCUAGUUCAAAAGGAACAAUGUCCAAUCUUGAACUUGAAGACAGACCGGAUGAUCACAGUGGUCCCUUCUGGCAAUGGAUUCAAUUCAUACCAGUAGGGAAUCUCGACUGGCUAAUGAAGAGAUGGCUUUUCCUCCUAAUGGAAUGUUCCACUCUAACCAUCCCACCAGAGGAGUUCUCAUCUUCAAAAAAACCCAUUUUUUCUAUAUAUUAGAAUCAUCCAUCAGUCCAGUUUUCCACAGUCCCCAUUCCUGAAUGGUACGGUAAUGAAGAUUCCCUCGAGAGUGAAAAGCUUUGUAUUCAUGUCAAGGGCUGCAGAAAUAUUUCAAGAUAAAACCAAGGGAGAGUGCUCUGGCAGUGAUAAAAGAGCCCUGAAUCUCUCUGUGCUGUGAAGGUGUUGAGUGGUAGAUCUUGAGUAUCCGAAGCAGCAAAUGGCAUAUGAGCACCAUUCUCGUACUGAUAAUGCUGAAGGGUCUGGUGAUUCCCAUGGAGUGGGUUGACAUCUGUUUUUGUUGAAAGCUGGCCGUGAGUGGAAACCAACCUCUGCCUCAUGAUGCUUUUGGAAAUCACUGGAUAUUCUUUGCUGCAGUCUCUUUGAGCAUUAGAGCAAAGGAGGGACAUGUUCUUCAGUGGUUCUGUCCGCUUGAGUUGGGCCUCAAACAGGAGUGCCGAAGCCAGCUGGGAAAAUGACGAGCUUAUGUAACCUGUUUCUGAGUGCUCUGCAUGCCCUCUGCAUCAAAGGCUUUGGCUGAAACAUCUGAAAACACUGACUUGAAAAUUCCAUAGCGGAGAGUGAAGCCCAAUUGCACCACGCAGAUGAAUCACUGAGCAAGUCACGCAUGGCACUUCAAGAGGCCAAUGCAACAGCACUAAAGCAGUUAGCGACAAUGACAUCUCGGGAGGGACAAGUAUUUUUGCUCAAAAGAUGUAAAUCCAAGAUGGCCACCAUCAACAGGUCUUCUGAGACCAUAUGCAGGUGAGGCCAAGAAAAGUCGUGCCAGUUUGGAUAAAUGAGGAAGAUUCAUCUGGUCUGCCCACAGAUCUUCACCUGGUGGCUUUGUGGCUCUUUCCCACAGAACAAAUAUAAUUAGAGAAGAAAUAGUCAACACUCAACCCACUCCAAAUCUAAGGCCUCAUAGAUACUUUUUUUUUAAGGCCAGAAGGGACAAUUACAUCGUCUAGUCUAAACUGUAUAUCACAGGCCAUAGCGUUUCAUGCAGUUACCCCUGGAUUGACCCCAAUAACUUGUGUCUGACUAAAGCAUGUCAUCUAAAAGGCAUCCAGGCUUAAUUUGAAAACAUCAAGUGAUGGAGACUCCACCAUUUCCCUUAGUAGUUUGUUCGCUGGUUAAUUGCCCUCACUAUUAAUA